AUUGAACGCUGGCGGCAGGCCUAACACAUGCAAGUCGAGCGGAUGAGAGGAGCUUGCUCCUCGAUUCAGCGGCGGACGGGUGAGUAAUGCCUAGGAAUCUGCCUAGUAGUGGGGGACAACGUUUCGAAAGGAACGCUAAUACCGCAUACGUCCUACGGGAGAAAGUGGGGGAUCUUCGGACCUCACGCUAUUAGAUGAGCCUAGGUCGGAUUAGCUAGUUGGUAGGGUAACGGCCUACCAAGGGGACGAUCCGUAACUGGUCUGAGAGGAUGAUCAGUCACACUGGAACUGAGACACGGUCCAGACUCCUACGGGGGGCAGCAGUGGGGAAUAUUGGACAAUGGGCGAAAGCCUGAUCCAGCCAUGCCGCGUGUGUGAAGAAGGCCCUCGGGUCGUAAAGCACUUAAAGUUGGGAGGAAGGGCUUACAGCGAAUACCUGUGAGUUUUGACGUUACCGACAGAAUAAGCACCGGCUAACUUCGUGCCAGCAGCCGCCGUAA
rnacentral:rRNA from 1 species